AUUGAACGCUGGCGGCAGGCCUAACACAUGCAAGUCGAGCGGAUGAUGGUAGCUUGCUACCUGAUUCAGCGGCGGACGGGUGAGUAAUGCCUAGGAAUCUGCCCGGUAGUGGGGGACAACGUUUCGAAAGGAACGCUAAUACCGCAUACGUCCUACGGGAGAAAGUGGGGGAUCUUCGGACCUCACGCUAUCAGAUGAGCCUAGGUACGAUUAGCUAGUUGGUGAGGUAAAGGCUCACCAAGGCGACGAUCGUUAACUGGUCUGAGAGGAUGAUCAGUCACACUGGAACUGAGACACGGUCCAGACUCCUACGGGAGGCAGCAGUGGGGAAUAUUGGACAAUGGGCGAAAGCCUGAUCCAGCCAUGCCGCGUGUGUGAAGAAGGUCUUCGGAUUGUAAAGCACUUUAAGUUGGGAGGAAGGGCAGUAAGUUAAUACCUUGCUGUUUUGACGUUACCGACAGAAUAAGCACCGGCUAACUUCGUGCCAGCCGCCGCCGUAA
rnacentral:rRNA from 1 species